rnacentral:rRNA from 1 species
GACGAACGCUGGCGGCGUGCUUAACACAUGCAAGUCGAACGGUAAGGCCCUUCGGGGUACACGAGUGGCGAACGGGUGAGUAACACGUGGGUGAUCUGCCCUGCACUUCGGGAUAAGCCUGGGAAACUGGGUCUAAUACCGGAUAGGACUCCUGGCUUCAUGGUUGGGGGUGGAAAGCUUUUGCGGUGUGGGAUGGGCCCGCGGCCCAUCAGCUUGUUGGUGGGGUAAUGGCCUACCUAGGCGACGACGGGUAGCCGGCCUGAGAGGGUGACCGGUCACACUGGGACUGAGAUACGGCCCAGACUCCUACGGGAGGCAGCAGUGGGGAAUAUUGCACAAUGGGCGCAAGCCUGAUGCAGCGACGCCGCGUGAGGGAUGACGGCCUUCGGGUUGUAAACCUCUUUCAGCUAUGACGAAGCGCAAGUGACGGUAGUAGCAGAAGAAGGACCGGCCAACUACGUGCCAGCAGCCGCCGUAA